GGGGAGGGACAGGAGAUAAGAGCCUUACCUGCAAAGGCUGCCCAAGGAACGUACUCAAUUCAUGCUUUUUCCAAUUGCCCUGGUCCACCUUCAUUCAAAAUUUCCCUACCCAUUUUGAACAGCACCAGUGAGCUCACAGUCCUCCCCCCACAAAGGAAGGAUGGAUGCAGGUAUGUUGUGACACUGUGGACUCCCAUCCUCCCAGGUGGACUUUCCGCUGCUGGGGGCCGCAGGUUGGCUUAUGCUGGAAGAACCCAAGGAAGGAGUCAUCAAAUUAAAAAAUACAGCAAGUCCACCAACUAUUUUGGAGGGUAUUACCAAUUUUCAAAGUACCACCAACUGAGCAAAAGACAGUAAAACAGCAAACUGUUUCAACAAGAAAGAGGGCUUUGUUCUAACUUUUGUCUCUAUUGUAAUUUGACUCAAAUAGUUUUCUUAAGAAUAAGUGACAACAAUGUCAUAUCUUUGUCAUGUGAGCAGAAAGCAAGACGUAGAUCAUCCUUACUUGGGCUGAAGAACCAGAGCAAUGACAACAGCAGUUAAAGGAUCUGCACUAGAUACGUCUUUGAAUUCACAAGCACAUCUGCCUCUGAGUUCUGUGGUUACCUGUAAAAUUGAAAAUCAAAGAUACAGAAUGUGACUAAAAACUGAGUUUUAAGCCUUUACCUGGAAAAUCAGAUAACUGAGGGCUAUACAUCAUUAUUUAAAAAAAUAUAUAUAUAAUGUUUAGCUUUACUAAUACAUUUUACCUGUCAUCUUUUUUCAGAUAAAGGCAAACCGAUCUUCUACUAACACAACAGACUGUUGAAAAGUAUGAAACUUUGACUGUGUAAAUGUACAGUUAGUAGAUGAAGAUCACCAAAAAUCUCCUGAAUUCUUAGGUAAACCUACCUUAUUUGCUUCAAUACUGUGCAGUCAAAGACAUAAAACUACAUUAGUUCAUUCACUGAGAGUAAUAAAUAAAAUAUUUCUGUCUCUCA
rnacentral:lncRNA from 1 species